UAAGGUGAUAUGAACCGUUAUAACCGGCGAUACCCGAAUGGGGAAACCCAGUGUGACUCGUCACACUAUCAUUAACUGAAUCCAUAGGUUAAUGAGGCGAACCGGGGGAACUGAAACAUCUAAGUACCCCGAGGAAAAGAAAUCAACCGAGAUUCCCCCAGUAGCGGCGAGCGAACGGGGAGGAGCCCAGAGCCUGAAUCAGCAUGUGUGUUAGUGGAAGCGUCUGGAAAGGCGCGCGAUACAGGGUGACAGCCCCGUACACAAAAGCGCAUGUGCUGUGAGCUCGAUGAGUAGGGCGGGACACGUGGUAUCCUGUCUGAAUAUGGGGGGACCAUCCUCCAAGGCUAAAUACUCCUGACUGACCGAUAGUGAACCAGUACCGUGAGGGAAAGGCGAAAAGAACCCCGGCGAGGGGAGUGAAAAAGAACCUGAAACCGUGUACGUACAAGCAGUGGGAGCACCCUUCGGGGUGUGACUGCGUACCUUUUGUAUAAUGGGUCAGCGACUUAUAUUCUGUAGCAAGGUUAACCGUAUAGGGGAGCCGGAGGGAAACCGAGUCUUAAUUGGGCGUUAAGUUGCAGGGUAUAGACCCGAAACCCGGUGAUCUAGCCAUGGGCAGGUUGAAGGUUGGGUAACACUAACUGGAGGACCGAACCGACUAAUGUUGAAAAAUUAGCGGAUGACCUGUGGCUGGGGGUGAAAGGCCAAUCAAACCGGGAGAUAGCUGGUUCUCCCCGAAAGCUAUUUAGGUAGCGCCUCGUGAAUUCAUCUCCGGGGGUAGAGCACUGUUUCGGCUAGGGGGCCAUCCCGGCUUACCAACCCGAUGCAAACUGCGAAUACCGGAGAAUGUUAUCACGGGAGACACACGGCGGGUGCUAACGUCCGUCGUGAAGAGGGAAACAACCCAGACCGCCAGCUAAGGUCCCAAAGUCAUGGUUAAGUGGGAAACGAUGUGGGAAGGCCCAGACAGCCAGGAUGUUGGCUUAGAAGCAGCCAUCAUUUAAAGAAAGCGUAAUAGCUCACUGGUCGAGUCGGCCUGCGCGGAAGAUGUAACGGGGCUAAACCAUGCACCGAAGCUGCGGCAGCGAACGUAUCACCCAAGACAACUUUACGGAGUUGACGAUUGACGGAGCGAAGCGACGUCAAAGCGUUCAUUAAAGUCGAGUUGGCUUAGGGAUACGUUCGUUGGGUAGGGGAGCGUUCUGUAAGCCUGUGAAGGUGUGUCGUGAGGCAUGCUGGAGGUAUCAGAAGUGCGAAUGCUGACAUAAGUAACGAUAAAGCGGGUGAAAAGCCCGCUCGCCGGAAGACCAAGGGUUCCUGUCCAACGUUAAUCGGGGCAGGGUGAGUCGACCCCUAAGGCGAGGCCGAAAGGCGUAGUCGAUGGGAAACGGGUUAAUAUUCCCGUACUUGGUGUUACUGCGAAGGGGGGACGGAGAAGGCUAUGUUGGCCGGGCGACGGUUGUCCCGGUUUAAGCGUGUAGGUGUGUGUUCCAGGUAAAUCCGGUUCACUUUAACACUGAGGCGUGACG
rnacentral:rRNA from 1 species